GACGAACGCUGGCGGCGUGCUUAACACAUGCAAGUCGAACGGAAAGGCCCCGUUUUUGUGGGGUGCUCGAGUGGCGAACGGGUGAGUAACACGUGAGUAACCUGCCCUUGACUUUGGGAUAACUUCAGGAAACUGGGGCUAAUACCGGAUAGGAGCUCCUGCUGCAUGGUGGGGGUUGGAAAGUUUCGGCGGUUGGGGAUGGACUCGCGGCUUAUCAGCUUGUUGGUGGGGUAGUGGCUUACCAAGGCUUUGACGGGUAGCCGGCCUGAGAGGGUGACCGGCCACAUUGGGACUGGGAUACGGCCCAGACUCCAACGGGAGGCAGCAGUGGGGAUAAUUGCACAAUGGGCGGAGGCCUGAUGCAGCAACGCCGCGUGCGGGAUAACGGCCUUCGGGUUGUAAACCGCUUUCGCCUGUGACGAAGCGUGAGUGACGGUAAUGGGUAAAGAAGCACCGGCUAACUACGUG
rnacentral:rRNA from 1 species